CAUAUUGCGCAAUGGGGGAAACCCUGACGCAGCGUCGCCGCGUGAACGAUGAAGGCCUUCGGGUCGUAAAGCUCUGUCAGGGGGGACGAACUCUGACGGUACCUCCAGAGGAAGCCCCGGCUUACUACUUUCCCGCAGCCGCGGUAAUACGUAGGGGGCGAGCGUUGUCCGGAAUUACUGGGCGUAAAGGGCGUGUAGGCGGUUUAUCAAGUCAGGUGUGAAAUUCCAGGGCUCAACCCUGGGCGUGCACUUGAAACUGGUAGGCUUGAGUGCAGGAGAGGAAAGUGGAAUUCCCAGUGUAGCGGUGAAAUGCGUAGAUAUUGGGAGGAACACCAGUGGCGAAGGCGACUUUCUGGACUGUAACUGACGCUGAGGCGCGAAAGCUAGGGGAGCAAAC
rnacentral:rRNA from 1 species